GGUAGGCAGCCAUGCAGGAAACCAUCAAACCAAGAAGGUAGUGUUGUUAUAUCACAGCCUGGGGGACUUUGGAGAGAGCCUUACACAGCUGCAGAGGAAUGGCAUGUGCGCGCCAGUCCCCAGCCCUACCCUGCGAGUACUGGAGCCCACAAUAACCUCUCUCUCUCUUGUUCACACAUACACCCACACACCCCUCUCAUACUCCCCACCACAGGAAGCCCAGCUGAAAUAAAUCAGCCACUAGCCCUUUCCUCCCCUCAGCUGAGGCUGUUCAUAUACAGGCUCCUACUCUGUCUACAGCUGCUGAAGGAUCCCUGUCCUGCUCCUCCCAGAAAAGACACAGCCACAGAAGCCAGUGAACUACUGCAGCUCCCCCAGGGGACAGCAGGUACGACAAUGAGAAGGUCCUUCUUACCUCAGAAGAGAGAAAAAUCAACUUCUGCAGCAUUGCCCCUGAAUAGUUGGCGAAGAGAGUGUUGCGCAACCAUUGUAUAAAGGAGGAUAUGACGUUCAAAAAGGCCUGUUGAUUAAUGAUGGAAGCACCUCAAUGUUCCUUGAAUCAGGCUUCGCCGCCACCCCCUAUAAUCAAGUAGCUCACAAAGAGACAUUAUACAGACAAAGCCAUGGGAACUGAAGAAACAAAUACACCAUUGGCACACCACCAGAACCAUGGCAGGAGAGCAGGACAAUGGGGAUAGCUACUGAUGAAGGUGAUCAGAACCAUAGUGCAAAAGAGGAGCAUGACGCCAGACCACUCAGCCAACUUUUGUUUAAGACUCUAGAACAGGGGUCGGCAACCUUUCAGAAGUGGUGUGCCGAGUCUUCAUUUAUUCAUUCUAAUUUAAGGUUUCGCGUGCCAGUAAUACAUUAACGUUUUUAGAAGGGCUCUUUCUAUAAAAGUCUAUAAUAUAUAACUAAACUAUUGUUGUAUGUAAAGUAAAUAAGGAUUUUAACAUUUUUAAGCUUCAUUUAAAAUUAAAUUAAAAUGCAGAGCUCCCCGGACUGGUGGGCAGGACCCGGGCAGUGUGCCACUGAAAAUUAGCUCGCAUGCCGCCUUCAGCAUACAUGCCAUAGAUUGCCUACCCCUCCUUUAGAACCUUAACAGGACACUUCAAAUGAUUCAAAACACAGCGGGGGUGGGGAGCAGUAGAGAGAGAAGUUGUGUGGCUAAAUGUUUAAGAGGCUGAAGUAGAACUGGUGGAGGGGAAUGGUACUAAGAACUAGCCAUGGUAGCUCAGCUGGUAUGUGUGUUUAAGGUCAAUGAAUUAAGACCAUCCCAAGGCAAACUUUUUCCUUUCAAUACAAUGAGCUGAAGGUGCCCCUUGAUGCACAAAAUAAAGGUAUUAAAGCAUGCCUUACGUGUACUUCCUAUUUUACAUUUCUUAGCAGCUGAGUGAUGGUUCUUCAGAGGCUUUGGAGAAUUUAGACACCAAUAGCCCUGAAGGAACAAAUGCAUUGGGCCCAGUCCUCUUUUGCCCAGACCUGAAACCAGAUGCUCAACAAUGCACAGAGAAAGAGAGAGGUGCUAAUUCUAUAGAUAUUUACUAUCUAACUUUGAGGACAGAAUUUAGUACUGAGCCUAUGCCAGUCCACAACUGCAAAACAAUUAUGUGCAUGAUUGAGUGAUCUGCCAUGCAUAGAAUUAUUAAGCACUAUUUGAGCCAGAAGCUGACAGAGUACUCCUAAGGUUGUGUCACAGAUUACCUACACCAGAGGAGCCCUAUCUGUGUCAACUGAACUGGAAAAAACAAGCAAAAGAAAUGUAUGUAAAUCUGUACCUGGAGAGUGUUUUAAAUAUUGCCACACUGGGAUAUGCUCUGCAGUGCUUCUGAUUAACCCAGGGAAAAGGCAUGAAAUGGAUAUUUAUUCAUUUAUUUGUAAUGCUUCCAAUAAGGAUUAAAACAAACAAACAAACAAAAAAACACAUUGUUUUUUUCCAAAAAGGCCAACGACACUAACAUGCACAUGUCCAAAAGGAUACCUAGGGGCCCUGGAAAGUGUGGAAGCGGGAGGGGAAACUUGUCAAAAAUAUGACUCAAAAUAUAGACUUAUUAAUACUCAGCAGGGCCGCCCAGAGGGGGGGGGCAAGUGGAGCAAUUUGCCCCAAGCUCCACAGGGGCCCCCAUGAGAAUUUUUCGGGGCCCCUGGAGCGGGGUCCUUCACUCGCUCCGGGGGCCCCGGGCCCCCGGAGCUUCUUCCGCUCCGGGCCUUCGGCUGCAAUUCGGCGGCGUGGUGGUGGUGGUCGGGGGGAGGCCCUUCCGCUCCGGGACCCGCCGCCGAAGUGCCCUGAAGACCCGCGGUGGGGGGUCCUUCCGCCCCAGGACCCACUGCCAAAGUGCUGGGUCUUCGGCGGCAAUUCAGCGGCGGGGGCCCCCCACCGCCAAAGACCCCAGGCCCGCUGAAUCCUCUGGGCAGCUCUGAUACUCAGGGAAGUUAAGGAGACAGUGUUCACCCAAGCUUGAAUUCAGAGCCCCUGUUUCUCUUUGAAGAGGUGGCUGGGAUCUCAUCCUUGGAAAGAGACAAAAGCUGACAACACCUUUAUUUUUUUGUAAGUUUAUUGUUUUUAAAUAUCAAUUUUGUAAAGUAAUUGUUGGACUCCAUUAACAUUCAGGUAAACAAGUGAAAAGACAAUGGAUGGGCAUGAUGUCUUAGCACAGGCACAGCCAAAGAGAGCAGGGAAUGGAGGCUGCAUGUGUUUUGGGGAAAGUCACCCAUCCCUCUCCCUCCCGUUCCUGUUUCAGCAGAAGCAAUGGUGGGAGCCUGGAGCCAACCUGGGAUGCCUGUACUGCUGGUCAUGAAAAGUACAAGGGAGGGGUAGGGAAGGGCAGUUGUGGGAUCACAGCACUGUACUUGCCCCUUUCACUCACUGCAGGAGCUUCGUCUGAUGGGGCGGAUGGCAGCAGUCAGUUAUCCCAUGGCUGGACCAUCUGACAGAUCAGAAAGCCAUUCCCUUAGGUUGGGGAACAAUGAGCUCUUUGGGAUAUUCUCAGUUGCUUUUUAGUACCAGUUUAGUUUCCCCACUCGUUAGCCACCACAGGCCUUUCUGAAUUUUAACCCUCUCAUCAUUUUGGAAUUCAUACUAGCUCCCCCACUACUGGGCACCUGCAGCAGCAACUGUUAUUGGCAAGAGCCAUUUGCCUUUACUUAGCUUGAUUCUGGAUGUCCCACUCCAGCCUGCCCAUUUCUCCUUCUCCUCCUCCAUCAUCCCAGAGGCCUGGCUCUGCCCAUGCUGUCAAAGCCUGGCUCAUUAAGCAUCCUGGUGUUAAGGUGAACUGGUUGUAAAUCGUAGAUCAUGGUCAUACUAUACACACUAUGAUUAACAUUAGAUUUUUUUUUCUUAAAAAUGAACAAAAAACAAAACAAAAAAACCAAGGCAGCUGUAGGAAGCAGUUAAACACACAGCUUUGUGGCAUGCUCCACAAUAUAAAAGAAUCCCAAGCAUUCAGUUCAGCUGGCAGCAGCUCUGUUUGACUUUCUAGCAUAGGUCUUCAAACCCAGCCCUGGUUAGUUCCCUGCUCCUCGCCUCCCCCAGUGAAAUGGGACUCUCCUCUUCUUCCUUUGCCUUAUGACUGUUUUCUCAAUGACUGGUUGUUUCCUCUGGGAAGAGGCUUCUCUUCAGAGGGAGUGUUUGUGCGUAUUUAUAGCCCAUGGCCCCUGAUCCUGCAGAGCCCUAUGCAGUGGACACCAAUCCUGUCUGCAAGGGGUCUCCAGGAUCAGGCCCUGGAUCUGCAUGCUUGCAUGUGUGUACACAUACAUAGGCAGGAUAGUCUCUUGGAAGGAACAUGAGUCCUGCGUUCUGCUUCUCUUCCUCCUCAUCUAGCUUAAGGACUGGUUAUUCAGAUACAGGGCAAUGGCCCUGGAUACUGAGCAGUUCUCAGGGAUAAUUUGGGGGGAGUCCACUCUCAAAUUUUCACACACCCCUGCCUCCAUUCUGCUUAGGCCUCCCCUUCUCAGGAGUUUAGGACAGAGACGACCAAAGGGGGUUGUUUUACUUAGCUGCUCCUCAACCCCUCAGUCCAUUCUUAUGCAUGGCAGCUCCUUCUCUCCCUCUCCUAGCCUGGCAGGCUGACAAACAAGCAACGGGACACGGGAAUACUCCUGUAAUAACCCUGAAGAGAAAUGGACAGGGCAUAAAUGCCACCCAGUGAAACCCAUCUUUCAGCUUCCUUCCGUGAGCUCCAGUACCACUCUGUGUCCUCAGGACUCUAUUCCCAAAUCACUGCCACCACACUCAAAAGCCAUUUCCCCAGCCUUCAGAGCUCCAAGUUCCAUCAGCAUCUCUUCCAUGCAGGCUUCUUCUCCAGGGCAGGAGGCUGCAGAGGUAGCUGACAACUACAAGGGCACCACCAGAGUUCAAAGUGAAUAGUUACUUUCUGUUAUGUAGUUCGGGGUUGGAUGGCAAAUUCCAGCAAUCCCAGGGCACUUUUUGACCAAAGACUUUGCUUCCGUGUUUUCCUCCCACACUUAUCAGGCUUCAGCCCAGCAUGCUUCUCAAUAGUCACUUCUUCCCACUUGCUACUGCAAAGGGCAAGUCUAGUACCUUAAAGCUACAUCUAAGAACGUGCCUGACCUGCACUUGCUUCUUUGGAGACCCAGCAAAUCUUCAAACAGAGCUCCAGCUACUGACACAAUAUCAACUGAAUACUGAACAA